GUGGGCCCGCCGCCCGGCAGAGGCGCAGGCAGUAAGCGCCGUUUCCGGCUUAGGAUCGGGGUCCGGAGAAGGGGCUGUCUGUAGGCGCCAUGUCGGGCCGCGAAGGUGGCAAAAAGAAGCCCCUGAAACAGCCCAAGAAGCAGGCCAAGGAGAUGGACGAGG